rnacentral:lncRNA from 1 species
CUUCUUGGCAUCAUCAUGACUGUUUACAGCUGUGUCUGCGUCUAUAUGGGAUCUGUAACUAUGGCCGUAUUGAUGGUGGUUUCAGCAAUUAGCGGUCCUUGCAUCGGUUUGCUGAUACUUGCCACCACAUGCCCGUUUGUGCAUUCCAAGGGCGCUGGUAGCGCUACGCUGAUCACGUUCGCCAUGCAACUCUUCCUUAUGUGGCAGAGAAUCAACAGUGGACUCAAACCACCACACAUGCCGGUGACACUCGACUACUGCCACGACAACAGCAGCUCUUUUCACCU